rnacentral:misc_RNA from 1 species
GAAAUGCGAUAAGUAAUGUGAAUUGCAGAAUUCAGUGAAUCAUCGAAUCUUUGAACGCACAUUGCGCCCGCCAGUAUUCUGGCGGGCAUGCCUGUUCGAGCGUCAUUACAACCAUCAGGCCCCCGGGCCUGGCGUUGGGGAUCGGCGGAAGCCCCCUGCGGGCACAACGCCGUCCCCCAAAUACAGUGGCGGUCCCGCCGCAGCUUCCAUUGCGUAGUAGCUAACACCUCGCAACUGGAGAGCGGCGCGGCCACGCCGUAAAACACCCAACUUCUGAAUGUUGACCUCGAAUCAGGUAGGAAUACCCGCUGAACUUAAGC